GUCUCUUCGGGGACAUCCGAUAAAAUUGGAACAAUACAGAGAAGAUUAGCAUGGCCCUGUGCAAGGAUAACACGGGUACUGGUACGGUACCGGAUAUACGG